rnacentral:rRNA from 1 species
AGUGAACGCUGGCGGUAGGCUUAACACAUGCAAGUCGAACGGUAACACAGUAUGAGCUUGCGCUUACGGGUGGCGGGGUGCGUACUGGUGCGGAAUACAUCGGGAGCUACUUUUUCGUGGGGGGUAACGUGUGCAAACUUACGCUGAUACCGGAGGCGACCUACGGGGGAAAGCAGGGGAUCUUUGGACCUUGCGCCUUUGAAUGAGCCGAUGUCGGAUUAGCUAGUUGGCGGGGUAAAGGCCCACCAAGGCGACGAUCCGUAGCUGGUCUGAGAGGAUGAUCAGCCACACUGGAACUGAGACACGGCCCAGACUCCUACGGGAGGCAGCAGUGGGGAAUAUUGGACAAUGGGCGCAAGCCUGAUCCAGCAAUACCGCGUGGGUGAAGAAGGCCUUCGGGUUGUAAAGCCCUUUUGUUGGGAACGAAAAGCCGCAGGUUAAUACCCCGGUGUUAUGACGGUACCCAAAGAAUAAGCACCGGCUAACUUCGUG